CCUAUGUGUGGCUGCAGUGGGGAAUAUUGGACAAUGGGCGAAAGCCUGAUCCAGCCAUGCCGCGUGUGUGAAGAAGGCCUUCGGGUUGUAAAGCACUUUCAGUGGGGAAGAAAGCCUUGGGGCUAAUACCCUCGAGGAAGGACAUCACCCACAGAAGAAGCACCGGCUAACUCCGUGCCAGCAGCCGCGGUAAUACGGAGGGUGCGAGCGUUAAUCGGAAUUACUGGGCAUAAAGCGCGCGUAGGCGGUCUGAUAAGCCGGUUGUGAAAGCCCCGGGCUCAACCUGGGAACGGCAUCCGGAACUGUCAGGCUAGAGUGCAGGAGAGGAAGGUAGAAUUCCCGGUGUAGCGGUGAAAUGCGUAGAGAUCGGGAGGAAUACCAGUGGCGAAGGCGGCCUUCUGGACUGACACUGACGCUGAGGUGCGAAAGCGUGGGUAGCAAACAGGAUUAGAUACCCGAGUAGUC
rnacentral:rRNA from 1 species